UGGGGAAUAUUGCACAAUGGGCGCAAGCCUGAUGCAGCCAUGCCGCGUGUAUGAAGAAGGCCUUCGGGUUGUAAAGUACUUUCAGCGGGGAGGAAGGGAGUAAAGUUAAUACCUUUGCUCAUUGACGUUACCCGCAGAAGAAGCACCGGCUAACUCCGUGCCAGCAGCCGCGGUAAUACGGAGGGUGCAAGCGUUAAUCGGAAUUACUGGGCGUAAAGCGCACGCAGGCGGUUUGUUAAGUCAGAUGUGAAAUCCCCGGGCUCAACCUGGGAACUGCAUCUGAUACUGGCAAGCUUGAGUCUCGUAGAGGGGGGUAGAAUUCCAGGUGUAGCGGUGAAAUGCGUAGAGAUCUGGAGGAAUACCGGUGGCGAAGGCGGCCCCCUGGACGAAGACUGACACUCAGGUGCGAAAGCGUGGGGAGCAAACA
rnacentral:rRNA from 1 species